AACGAACGCUGGCGGCAGGCUUAACACAUGCAAGUCGAACGGAUCCUUCGGGAUUAGUGGCAGACGGGUGAGUAACGCGUGGGAACGUACCCUUUGCUACGGAAUAACUCAGGGAAACUUGAGCUAAUACCGCAUGUGCCCUACGGGGGAAAGAUUUAUCGGCAAAGGAUCGGCCCGCGUUGGAUUAGCGAGUUGGUGGGGUAAUGGCCUACCAAGGCGACGAUCCAUAGCUGGUCUGAGAGGAUGAUCAGCCACACUGGGACUGAGACACGGCCCAGACUCCUACGGGAGGCAGCAGUGGGGAAUAUUGGGCAAUGGGCGCAAGCCUGAUCCAGCCAUGCCGCGUGAGUGAUGAAGGUCUUAGGAUUGUAAAGCUCUUUCACAGGUGAAGAUAAUGACGGUAGCCGGAGAAGAAGCCCCGGCUAACUUCGUG
rnacentral:rRNA from 1 species